AAUAAGGCUCAGUGGUAGAGCACUUGCCUAGCAUUCACCAGGCCCUGGGUUCAAUUCCCAGUGUU
rnacentral:tRNA from 1 species